rnacentral:snRNA from 1 species
AGCUGUUACAGCUCUCUGGCAAUUUUUUCUAACAGGUUUUCUGUCUUCUGUCAGGAAACCCAA